ACGCUCGACAGUGUCAGCAGCCGCGGUAAUACGUAGGGUGCAAGCGUUAAUCGGAAUUUACUGGGCGUAAAGCGUAGCGCAGGCGGUUUCGUAAGUCUGUCGUGAAAUCCCCGGGCUUAACCUGGGAAUGGCGAUGGAGACUGCGAGGCUAGAGUUUGGCAGAGGGGGUAGAAUUCCGACGUGUAGCAGUGAAAUGCGUAGAGAUGUGGAGGAACACCGAUGGCGAAGGCAGCCCCUGGGUCAAAACUGACGCUCGAUGCACGAAAGCGUGGGGAGCAAACAGGAUUAGAUACCCUGGUAGUCCACGCCCUAAACGAUGUCGUACUAGUUGGUUGGGUCUUAAUUGACUUAGUAACGCAGCUAACGCGUGAAGUAGACCG
rnacentral:rRNA from 1 species